rnacentral:rRNA from 1 species
GACGAACGCUGGCGGCGUGCUUAACACAUGCAAGUCGAACGGUGAAGCGCCUUCCUUUUUGGUGGGUGUGGAUGAGUGGCGAACGGGUGAGUAACACGUGAGUAACCUGCCCCCUUCUUCUGGAUAACCGCAUGAAAGUGUGGCUAAUACGGGAUAUUCUGGGUCUGUCGCAUGAUGGGUCUGGGAAAGAUAUUGUUUCGGUGGGGGAUGGGCUCGCGGCCUAUCAGCUUGUUGGUGGGGUGAUGGCCUACCAAGGCGGUGACGGGUAGCCGGCCUGAGAGGGUGGACGGUCACACGGGGACUGAGACACGGCCCAGACUCCUACGGGAGGCAGCAGUGGGGAAUAUUGCACAAUGGGCGCAAGCCUGAUGCAGCGACGCCGCGUGAGGGAUGGAGGCCUUCGGGUUGUGAACCUCUUUCGCCAGUGAAGCAGGCCUGCCUCGUUUGUGGGUGGGUUGAUGGUAGCUGGAUAAGAAGCGCCGGCUAACUACGUG